GCAAGUCGAGCGCACUCUUCGGAGUGAGCGGCGGACGGGUUAGUAACGCGUGGGAACAUACCCUUUUCUACGGAAUAGCCUCGGGAAACUGAGAGUAAUACCUUAUACGCCCUUUGGGGGAAAGAUUUAUCGGAUUUGGAUCGGCCCGCGUUAGAUUAGGUAGUUGGUGGGGUAAUGGCCUACCAAGCCUACGAUCUAUAGCUGGUUUGAGAGGAUGAUC
rnacentral:rRNA from 1 species